rnacentral:lncRNA from 1 species
GUCAAAACUUUUUGAAGUCAGACUUUUACCUUCCCUCUUCUUUCAAGCAGUCAACACAGGGUAAUAAUGCUACAUUACUAAAGACCAGAGACCUUCUUGCUUCUUCUGACUCUCCUGUGAAAAUAUUUUAUACAGGCAACUCACAUCCGUUGUAGAAGUACUUAAAGAGAGCUUGUGAAGAAGGUGAAUUUAGGAGGAAUGACAGGAAUGUAACUGGGACACCUGGACCUGGACCUAAGAAAUGUCUGAAAUGAUCUCUAUAAAGAUCCAGAUCCCUGUGAAACAGACAGAGAAACUGCAGCAUAGUAAAAGUAGCCUCUAUCCCUGACUGUCAGCAUGUGAAGAGCUUCUCCAGGGAAGAUCCUGAGCUGAGUUUGAUUGUGAUGAGAAGAGAUCUUAAUUUCUAGAGGCAUCUGAAAUCCAGAGGAGAAAAGCAUAAGAAAAACCACAGUUGAAAAAUAAAGCCUUACAACAUUCACUCUUGUUUUAGCCA